CGGGCGGCCGUGACCCUGCUGGAGUGCGGGGGGGACCUCCAGCCCCCCGGGGGGUCCCUGCGCCUCCUCUGCCGAGGGGCCGGGUUCAGUUUUGGCAGUUUUGGCAUGCAGUGGGCCCGCCAGAGACCUGGGCAGGGGCUGGAGUGGCUCGCAGGGAUCACCAAUACUGGUAGCAACCCCAGAUAUGCCCCGUCGGUGCAGGGCCGGUUCAGGAUCUCCAGGGACAACGGGCAGAGCUCGGUGACGCUGACCAUGAACAACCUCAAGGACGAGGAUUCUGCCACCUAUUUCUGC